UACGGAGGGUGCAAGCGUUAUUCGGAAUUACUGGGCGUAAAGGGAGCGUAGGCGGACUGUUUAGUCAGAGGUGAAAGCCCAGGGCUCAACCUUGGAAUUGCCUUUGAUACUGGCAGUCUUGAGUACGGAAGAGGUAUGUGGAACUCCGAGUGUAGAGGUGAAAUUCGUAGAUAUUCGGAAGAACACCAGUGGCGAAGGCGACAUACUGGUCCGUUACUGACGCUGAGGCUCGAAAGCGUGGGGAGCAAACAGG
rnacentral:rRNA from 1 species